rnacentral:rRNA from 1 species
UACGAAGGGGGCUAGCGUUGUUCGGAUUUACUGGGCGUAAAGCGCACGUAGGCGGAUUGUUAAGUCAGGGGUGAAAUCCCGGAGCUCAACUCCGGAACUGCCUUUGAUACUGGCAAUCUAGAGUCCGGAAGAGGUGAGUGGAACUCCUAGUGUAGAGGUGGAAUUCGUAGAUAUUAGGAAGAACACCAGUGGCGAAGGCGGCUCACUGGUCCGGUACUGACGCUGAGGUGCGAAAGCGUGGGGAGCAACAGGGAUUAAGAAACCCUUAGUAACGUCC